rnacentral:rRNA from 1 species
AAGGAAUAUUGGUCAAUGGACGCAAGUCUGAACCAGCCAUGCCGCGUGAAGGAUGAAGGUCCUCUGGAUUGUAAACUUCUUUUAUCUGGGACGAAAACGGGAUUUUUAUCUCAAUUGACGGUACCAGAGGAAUAAGCCUCGGCUAACUACGUGCCAGCAGCCGCGGUAAAACGUAGGAGGCGAGCGUUAUCCGGAUUUACUGGGCGUAAAGCGCGUGCAGGCGGAUUGGAGAGUUGGAUGUGAAAGCUCCCGGCUUAACUGGGAGAGGUCGUUGAAUACUUCCAGUCUUGAGUGCAGUAGAGGGAAGUGGAAUUCCGGGUGUAGUGGUGAAAUGCGUAGAUAUCCGGAGGAACACCAGUGGCGAAAGCGGCUUCCUGGACUGUAACUGACGCUCAGACGCGAAAGCUAGGGUAGCAAACG